AGGCAAUCAAUCUGAAUUUUUUCGAGAAGGCAGACAUCUUUGUAAGCUGAGCAGAUACUAAGUUGAGAAGACCACAACAGCAUUGUCAAUGGUGCAGACAUCACAGCAGCAGUAGCGAUGGAGGGGCUUCCUGUUUUCCUCAAGGAGGAGUGCUCCUGUCUCUUCAGGAAAUGCAUGGGCACAGAUGCUGUGGAGGAUUACAUGGAAGACGGAAGACGACCUCACCAUGACUAUCACCAAUAUUGCCAUCAUACUCCAAGAGACUGCUGCUCUACAAGACAUUAAGGAUAUUCCAGCUGCACACAUACAUGUGUAUGUGUGUGCGCGUGCGUGCGUGUGUGUGUGUGCGAGUGCUUGUGUGUAUGGAUGCGCUCUGAGUGGUAUGCUCAGUGUGUGUGUUCUGACUGUCAUGCUCAGUGUUUGUGGUUGUACUGGAUGCCUCUGACAUGAUAUUGCACAGACUGUUGGCUUGUAGUCAGCCUGUUAGCACACACACACACACACACACACACACACACACACACACACACACACACACACACACACACACACACACACACAGUUUAUCUACACUUGUUUAACAGACUUGGUUGACUGGGUUUUUGGAGAAAAUUAAAUAAAAAAACGUUGUUUGAUCAA